CCUACGGGUGGCAGCAGUGAGGAAUAUUGGUCAAUGGGCGCGAGCCUGAACCAGCCAAGUAGCGUGAAGGAUGACUGCCCUACGGGUUGUAAACUUCUUUUAUAAAGGAAUAAGGUGAGUCGCGUGUGCCUUUUUGUAUUGACUUUAUGCAUAAGGAUCGGCUAACUCCGUUCCAGCAGCCGCGGUAAUACGGAGGAUCCGAGCGUUAUCCGGAUUUAUUGGGUUUAAAGGGAGCGUAGAUGGGUUGUUAAGUCAGUUGUGAAAGUUUGCGGCUCAACCGUAAAAUUGCAAUGGAUACUGGCAGUCUUGAGUACAGUUGAGGUAGGCGGAAUUCGUGGUGUAGCGGUGAAAUGCGUAGAGAUCACGAAGAACUCCGAUUGCGAAGGCAGCUUACUAAACUGCGACUGACAUUGAUGCUCGAAAGUGUGGGUAUCAAACAGGAUUAGAUACCCUUGUAGUC
rnacentral:rRNA from 1 species